GCUGAUGUAGCUCAGUUGGUAGAGCAACUGAUUCGUAAUCAGUAGGUCGGAGGUUCGACUCCUCUCAUCAGCACCA
rnacentral:tRNA from 13 species